ACAUACCUGCGAUGUGCGUAUGCUCCUUGAUGUCUCAAACCUAUAAGAUUAAUUCGGGAAUUCAAUAAUUUUAUUUGUACAACAUGCCUGCAUGAACAGGAAGUUGGAAGAAUAAAUGAGAAUGCCCACCUGCGAGAGCGGGUUUUGAGACACCAGAGUUACGGCAGAGCGGGGAAACA
rnacentral:other from 1 species